AUGUAGAAACCUGAAAAGGCGACGACCGGUAUCCAAUCCGGAGCUUGAACAGGUGCUGCAUGGCUGUCGUCAGCUCGUGCCGUGAGGGGUUAGGUUAAGUCCUGCAACGAGCGCAACCCUUGUCGCUAGUUAAAUUUUCUCUAGCGAGACUGCCCUUUAAUGUGGAGGAAGGAGAGGAUGACGUCAAGUCAGCAUGGCCUUUAUGCCUUGGGCUACACACACGCUACAAUGGGUGAUACAACAGGUUGCUAAGAAGCGAUUUAGAGCUAAUCCCUAAAAUCAUCCUCAGUUCAGAUUGUAGGCUGAAACUGCCUACAUGAAGGCGGAGUUGCUAGUAACCGCAGGUCAGCACACUGCGGUGAAUACGUUCUCGGGCCUUGUACACACCGCCCGUCACGUCAUGGAAGUCGAUAACACCUGAAGUCAAUAGGCUAACCUUAUCGAGGCAGUUGCCGAGGGUGGGAUUGAUGACUGGGACGAAGUCGUAACAAGGUAGCCGUACGGGAACGUGCGGCUGGAUCACCUCCUUU
rnacentral:ncRNA from 1 species